GACGAACGCUGGCGGCGUGCUUAACACAUGCAAGUCGAACGGAAGGGCCCUGCUUUUGUGGGGUGCUCGAGUGGCGAACGGGUGAGUAACACGUGAGUAACCUGCCCUUGACUUUGGGAUAACUUCAGGAAACUGGGGCUAAUACCGGAUAGGAGCUCCUGCUGCAUGGUGGGGGUUGGAAAGUUUCGGCGGUUGGGGAUGGACUCGCGGCUUAUCAGCUUGUUGGUGGGGUAGUGGCUUACCAAGGCUUUGACGGGUAGCCGGCCUGAGAGGGUGACCGGCCACAUUGGGACUGAGAUACGGCCCAGACUCCUACGGGAGGCAGCAGUGGGGAAUAUUGCACAAUGGGCGGAAGCCUGAUGCAGCAACGCCGCGUGCGGAUGACGGCCUUCGGGUUGUAAACCGCUUUCGCCUGUGACGAAGCGUGAGUGACGGUAAUGGGUAAAGAAGCACCGGCUAACUACGUG
rnacentral:rRNA from 1 species